rnacentral:misc_RNA from 1 species
GAUGCAUUGUGAAUUGUUGAAAGCUUGUUGAGCUGUUGAAAUUUUAGGGAACGUUCAGUUUUAUGCCAGAGUUCUGCUAGUUUUCUUUUAAUAUUUCAAACAUAAGUCAUGCAUUUUACACCUCACUAUUUUCACUCUAGAAUUUAAAUUUCCUUCUUUGAUGCACUUUUAUUUUCCUUGACUUUAGGAGAGGAUCCGGCUCUUAUAAUAGAUACUAGAAAUGCUUCACCGGUCUAGGUUUUAGUCCGUCUUCAGUACAGAUAAGUGGA